rnacentral:misc_RNA from 1 species
UUUUUUUUUUUCUUUGUUCGAGUACUCAAUAAUUAAUGAUGAGUGUUUGAUUGUGUUAAAUCAACCAAUUUGGUUACUGGGUCAUAGUAAUUCAAUUUGGUGUAUAUUUUGGCCAUUAAGAUUUGAUGAAGAAAUGUGUUGUAAUGAAUCACAGACUGAUGAACAACUAGCCAAGCAAAAGGCAAUUGAUGACUGGCUUCCAAUCACUUCUUCAAGGAAUGCAAAAUGGUGGUACUCAGCUUUUCACAAUGUUACUGCCAUGGUUGGAGCUGGCGUACUCAGUCUUCCAUACGCCAUGGCAGAGCUUGGAUGGGGUCCUGGUGUUGUUAUCCUCGUCCUAUCAUGGGUGAUUACGCUAUACACUUUAUGGCAAAUGGUGGAAAUGCAUGAAAUGGUGCCUGGAAAAAGAUUUGAUAGAUAUCAUGAACUUGGUCAAUAUGCUUUUGGUGAAAAGCUUGGUCUGUACAUUGUGGUUCCUCAGCAACUAGUUGUUGAAGUUGGUGUGUGCAUUGUCUACAUGGUUACUGGAGGCAGAUCAUUGAAAAAGUUUCAUGAUCUUGUAUGCAGUACCUGCAAACAGAUCAAGCUAACUUAUUUCAUAAUGAUCUUUGCCUCUGUUCACUUUGUACUCUCCCACCUUCCUAAUUUCAACUCCAUCUCUGGUGUCUCUCUGGCUGCUGCUGUCAUGUCCUUGAGUUACUCGACCAUUGCUUGGACAGCUUCUGUCCAUAAGGGUGUUCAGCCUGAUGUGCAAUAUGGUUAUGCAGCUAAGAGCACUGCAGGGACAGUCUUCAACUUCUUCAGCGCAUUGGGAGAUGUGGCUUUUGCAUAUGCUGGACACAAUGUGGUAUUGGAGAUUCAAGCAACAAUCCCAUCCACUCCUGAGAAGCCAUCCAAAGGGCCUAUGUGGAGAGGAGUGAUAGUUGCUUACAUAGUUGUCGCCUUGUGUUACUUCCCUGUUGCCCUAAUUGGCUACUGGAUGUAUGGCAAUGCGGUCGAAGACAACAUCCUCAUCUCAUUGCAGAAGCCUGUAUGGCUCAUUGCAAUGGCUAACAUGUUUGUUGUGGUUCACGUUAUUGGAAGCUACCAGAUUUAUGCAAUGCCAGUGUUUGACAUGAUAGAAACUCUAUUAGUAAAGAAAUUACAUUUCAAGCCCAGUUGGUUUCUUCGUUUUUUUGUACGCAACCUUUAUGUAGGACUCACAAUGUUUGUUGGCAUUACCUUCCCUUUCUUUGGCGGUCUCCUUUCAUUUUUUGGCGGAUUUGCUUUCGCCCCAACAACAUAUUUCCUCCCCUGCGUAAUGUGGCUGGCCAUUUACAAACCAAGAAAGUACGGCUUAUCUUGGUGGACUAACUGGAUCUGCAUUAUACUUGGUCUUCUGUUGAUGAUUUUAUCUCCCAUUGGAGGAUUGAGGCAAAUAAUACUUCAAGCUAAGACCUAUUCGUUCUACUCUUAAUCAUCAUUCCCAAUCCAUAUGAAUUGGAUUGCCACAGAAGGUGGAUUUUGGACUAAAGAAAACCAACUAGUGAUGAUGAUGAUGAUGGACGAAGCCGAAAUAGGUGGUGUGCAGCAAUUAUCAGAACCCUGACAGGUUGUGUUCAGAUGAUAUACAUGCUUAUUACUGGAGAAAACAGCAACUAUGGCUAUAGAAAUAUUCUUUUUCUAAACUAGUUGUGAUGCAUAUAUUUUGCCUCUCUUUUUAUGGUUGCUUUGGCAAGUGAAGUGAAUUUUUCAAUUUCUCUUCUUGUUAUAUUGAAAUGAAUGCAAAUAUAACAACAGUCUUUGGCUACUGGAUAUCAUGUCUCGACACUUGCUGGGACUCAAGAAUCAUUUUGUAAAUUAUUGUUAUAGUUCAUGGUUAGUAUCAGAAAUUGAUCAGGC